AUUGAACGCUGGCGGCAGGCCUAACACAUGCAAGUCGAGCGGAGCGGCGGACGGGUGAGUAAUGCCUAGGAAUCUGCCUGGUAGUGGGGGAUAGCGUCCGGAAACGGGCGCUAACACCGCAUACCAUCAGUUGAGACUAGGUCGGAUUAGCUAGUUGGUGGGGUAAAGGCCUACCAAGGCGACGAUCCGUGACUGGUCCGAGAGUGUGAGCAGUCGAAUUGGAAUAGGGACACGGUCCGGACUCCUAGGGGGGGAACAGGUGGGGAAUAUUGGACAAUGGGGGAAGGCCUGAGCCAGGACGGCGCGGUGUGUGAGGAAGCUUUUCGGAUGGAAAGCGACUUUAAGUUGGGCGGCGUUACCAACAUAAUAAGCACCGGCUAACUUCGUGCCAGCAGCCGCGGUAAUAC
rnacentral:rRNA from 1 species